UGUGCUGUGCUGUGCUGUCCAGUGUGGAGCCAGAAGGGAGAAGGGAGAAGUGCCUAAACCUCAGGAGCUCCUUUGAACUGUGGUGUCCCAAGAAAAGCCAGUAUGCAUAUUACCUCAUUCCCUUCAAAGAACAUGGCUUCUUCCCACAGCUAAGGAGUGCUCUAUCCUAACACCUCUUCUGAUAAUAAACAUCUUUUGUUUAUUCAUAGAAUCAUAGAAUCACCAAGGUUGGAAAAGACCUAAAAGAUCAUCCAGUCCAGACGUUCACCUAUUACUAAUUGCUCCCACGAAACCAUGUCCCUCAACACAACAUCCAGUCUUUCCUUGAACACUCCCAGGGUCGGUGACUCCACCACUUCUCUGGGCAGUCCAUUCUCAUUCCAUCAUCACAUUCCAUUAUUACCGCAUCCCAGCUGAAAUCUGUAUGUUUUAGAACAUAAACAGAACUAAUAUAUCUUGGAAAUAUAUCUAUACAUACAUAGAAGCAAAAUGACAAGAUAUUUUUACCUUAGUUUUCUGAACAUGCACCUUUAGAAAAGCCUUACCAUCAGGUACCCUGCCAUCAGACAGAUGCUAGUCAGCACAUCUGCUACAUGCAUUAUCUUUGCUAUAGACUCUUCUCUGAACCUGUUUUGGCCUGCUUUGCAGGUAACAAGCGUUCUAAAUUAGUAAAUUAAGUUUUAGGAGUAUAGCAGUAUCCUGUUCAUUAAAAUACUUUCUAAUCCUCACGUAGGAAAUAGAUAGCAUGAAAUAUAUCCUGAGGAAUAUAUGGCUUUUAGAAUCAUAUUUCUUCUGGAUUUUUCGCAUUUGCUCAGACUUACGUAAUGGAAGUAAAGUGCUGAUAAAUUUAUCAGAAUCCAUGGGAAAAAAAUCAUAAGGGACCCACAUGUUUCCAGUAGUUUCAUGUGGCUCCCUUAGUUAAUGCUAUGCAUCGUAACACAUGUAUGCAUAAGAAGAAAACGUGCUUCCAGGUCAUACUGCUUCAGGUGAAUAAUUCUGGGUUGUAUGCUGAGAAUAAUGUUAAUGAGGGAAAACUACUGCUAGCAAUAACGACUACGAUGGAACCAUAUCAAUGUGCAAAAAGGGAAGACUAAUGUUUUGACAUAUUUGCAUUGUUGUUGCUUUAACUGAGGAAAGACAUGAAGUGCUGCAGUGGAGUUAGAAAUAGUGGUGGGAAGCUCACCAACACAAAUCAUACUGCAUUGUACCUGGAAGUGUUAUUGUCAAAAUGUUCAUGUCAAUGACAAGGAUACAAUCUAAACUGUGUCAUUUUUUCAAUACUGUUUUUGUCUGAAUCAAGAGCAUAUUUAGAUGCCUAGUGCAGUAACUUUGUAGCAAGAUAAUAGACUUUUUUGAUUCAUACGCUGUUUGAGUACAAAAACAUAAACCUAUUUCUUGGUGUUGUGAUAAAGGAAUGUAAGUCAGACUACCCUGAGAGCCAAAAUGUGUGGAAAUGACAAGCAUACAGACGACCGAGCUGCAGGAUCCUUCAGCAGAUCUGGCAGUGGUUGCUAGUCACAGGGACAGAAUAUAGCAGAGGGACUAUGAUAGCAAGGCUGGACAGAAUUGUGAAAGCCCUUCGUGCACAGAGGUCCAGCUGUCAAUCGUUGUCAAGUUCACACAGCCAAAGAUAAGACUUGCUUUCACCUGCCUACACAAUGGUAGUCAUGAAGUUUUGCAAACUGAACUCUUGAGAUAACUGUUCCCUGAAAGAGAAGUGCUCACUCAGAGCUGUGGGAGCAUGCAGGGACUUCAAAAUAACCUAAAUAACAUAGGCCUUGCUGUAAGCAGGCUAUGGAAAAGAGGGAGAUAGAUGCUGCUGAUUGCAGACCCAGGUGAAAACAUUGCAGUAGUGGAGGCAUCUUGCAGAGCUGCCAGCGUUAGAAUCCUGGCACUGAGUUACAGCUAGCACCACAAACAUAAAUUAGAUUCUCAUGUACUGUUGUAUUUGCAGCUUAAAGGAAAAACAAACAAACAAAAAGAAAAAAACCCAACCACAGCUUCACAGAGACUGGUUUCUGGUGCAGAAAUGAGAGGGCUUCUGCAGAUGUUAAGACUAGCUGACUGCAAAGCCACAUGUGGAAAUAUACUUAGAAAUUCAUGGUUGCCUUUCUGACUUUAUUAUCCUGGGUUCAGUAAAUGAGGAAUAUGCUCUUAAUUUCUUAGAUAGCCUGUCACUGAGGAAUUUGUUUGUGCACACAACUAUUUUGCUAACCACCAUUGUGGUUUCUGGGUAUGCCUUGAGAAUUGCAUUCAUUGAAGAAUUUCAGUGUUUGACACCAUUGAAAAUUAAAUGUCCAGAAUCACAGACCGUUUUAACAUUUGCGACAUUAUUAAGUUUGUUAUUUUAGACUAUGCAGACUCUAAGAAAAAUACCACUGUUCUCUGUUCAGUGAAUUUCAUUCAGUCUCCUCUGAUCAGUGAAGAGCACGUAUGGCUUUCCAGCAGGAAAAAGGGAUUGUGUAAGGAGCUAAGUGGCUCAAGUAUGUGAUUCCUGGCAUAUUUUCUAUGAAACACAGUGCCAGAAAAACAUUUAUUUACUGUAAACAAACUGACCAAAGAACCUUGCAAGCUGCCAUUUGUGGAAAGAAGGAAAUGAAUUAAUUAAGCUUUUGGGGGUUGGUGGCUGCAUGUUUUUUACUAAGCAACACCCACCACAUGAGGUACUGAGUAUACAGUAUGGUUGCAGUAUGUGAUGUGGAUACAGAAUUGGAGACAAGAUGUUUGGAGAGAGAGGGGUUCUGGCAUGCAGAAGUGCUAGUCAAUAAGAUGGCCUAGGCUUAAUGUUUGUUAUACAUUUCAAUUACUGUCUUCAGUAUGUGGUCCUGGAACGUUGCAAAUAUUUGCUGUAUUGCAUCUAUUACCAUCUAUAACUCACAAAAGUGCAUUUAAAUUAUAUUGAUAUAAUACUAUAUUUAUAUGUGUUACUGCUAACACCUGAAGAGUGUGAUCUGUAACAAGUAAUGCCCUGGCCCUGUUAUUGGAUUUUAAGAAUAUUUUCAUUCUGAAGGUGAAAAGUAAAGGAGGAUUUGCUGAAGACAAAAAUCUGAUUUUAGACAUCACCUGGAGCACGAGACACCAUCUGUGUCCAAGAUGCAGGAUACGGACUUGCAGAUGACAAACAGUUGCACUCUCUUCUUUAGUAGAUGAAUGUGAAGGAUAAAAAGGAACAAAGCUAAAGAAAAAAACAAAAAAAAUUGAGCUAUCAAAAAUAGAGGACUUUUCUUGUGUACAAUUAGUAGCUCUUAAACUUAAAUCUGUUUUCCAUCUCUUCAUUUUAGGCAUUUAUGUAGACUGAGAGGUACACUAAAUUAUCUCUGACAGUAUAUGGAUGUGCACAUGGCAUUGGCAGUGCCCUCUGCAGGCUUUUAUCUGGUAAGCAAAGGGAGCUGUUGCAACCACACUCUAUUUUGAUUAAGUAUUUAUUCUGGUUGAUCUAGUUCUUUCUAAAAAUUUUGCUAGUGCAGCAUCAUCUGAACUUUGGAAUUUUCUUGACAAGGCUGCCCGGUAACAUGCACAGCAUUAUAAGUGAACAGCCAUAAAACACUAAACAAACAAAUUACAGUCUUGUUUUAAGAGCUUGGUUUGUUAUCAGUUUGUAUCUUAACAACCUCACUGCCCUUUGGUUAACAGUUAUUCCAGAUCCCAUCUCUCUUCCCCUUGGGAGAUUCUCUCUGUCUGUACUCAACUGGAUAUGUCUGAAAUAAAUGAGUAUCAAUUCA